AGUGAACGCUGGCGGUAGGCCUAACACAUGCAAGUCGAACGGCAGCACAGUAAGAGCUUGCUCUUACGGGUGGCGAGUGGCGGACGGGUGAGGAAUACAUCGGAAUCUACUUUUUCGUGGGGGAUAACGUAGGGAAACUUACGCUAAUACAGCAUAUGACCUACGGGUGAAAGCAGGGGAUCUUCGGACCUUUGGCGAUUGAAUGAGACGAUGCCGGAUUAGCUAGUUGGGGGGGUAAAGGCCCACCAAGGCGACGAUCCGUAGCUGGUCUGAGAGGAUGAUCAGCCACACUGGAACUGAGACACGGUCCAGACUCCUACGGGAGGCAGCAGUGGGGAAUAUUGGGCAAUGGGCGCAAGCCUGAUCCAGCCAUACCGCGUGGGUGAAGAAGGCCUUCGGGUUGUAAAGCCCUUUUGUUGGGAAAGAAAAGCAGCAGGUUAAUACCCCGCUGUUCUGACGGUACCCAAAGAAUAAGCACCGGCUAACUUCGUG
rnacentral:rRNA from 1 species